UCCGGAAGAUGGAAGGAGGCCCGCAUCAGAGACCCCACCAGCGGAGAGAACGGACCGGCAGCCACACAGAGAGCCCUCUCCAGCCGACACACUCACCCCUCGGCGGCUGGCGUAGAGCGCGGACUGCAGUCAGUGACAGUGAGUCACUGUCACUCCUGCUGCAGAAUCCGCGCUGUGGAUAUUACAGGCUCCUCUGAUGGGAGCUUUCACGGACACCGCCUGUCAGACUCCGGCAGCUCUGAACACACACAGCAGCUCUCCCCCAUGCUGGGAACAGGGGGAGGGACACAAGGCACAGUGCAGUAGCGUCUGAAGGAGGGUGAGCUGGCCUGUGAUGAUUGAGAAGAGAAAUGAACCCGGUGGGCCACUGAACCGACUCAGCCGUUAUUGGUAGUGUGAUUGAACUCUUCUUGUCACCAUGCCGCAUCAGAUGACAGCACUGGCAAUGAUGCAACUGUAAAAGACAGGCACCAUGAAUGUCAUUGCAGAGCAGUCCAUGGAGCGUCUAAUCUCAUGAGAGACAGAGUUUCCCACCAGACCCAGAUGGAGAACUGCGCCAAAGUCGGUGAAACCACUGCAUUGUACCAGAUCCUGCAGCAAAGGAAGUAUCCACAGCCAGCAGCAAUAGCAGUAGUAAAGAAUGAGUGACUUAUUAUAAAACGCCAGCCAGCCUGUAACUGUGCACCAAAACAAAGGAGGCGGUCUAGAACGAGGUUCCUCCCUUCCUCUCAUCUCCUCCUCCGACUGCUGUUGCUGCGGAAUAUUCGUCUGAAACGUCGGUAUAACAUCACAAUCCUGUGACUGUCCAAAGCUCGAAAAGGAGAGAAGACACCCAACCCCUACCAGCCCUGCCACGCAAUGGCAUCCUCACUGCAUGGGCACUAUACUGCAAUAAAAAUAAGUAUGUUA